UACGUAGGGUGCGAGCGUUAAUCGGAAUACUGGGCGUAAAGCGUGCGCAGGCGGUGAUGUAAGACAGAUGUGAAAUCCCCGGGCUCAACCUGGGAACUGCAUUUGUGACUGCAUCGCUGGAGUGCGGCAGAGGGGGAUGGAAUUCCGCGUGUAGCAGUGAAAUGCGUAGAUAUGCGGAGGAACACCGAUGGCGAAAGGCAAUCCCCUGGGCCUGCACUGACGCUCAUGCACGAAAGCGUGGGGAGCAAACAGG
rnacentral:rRNA from 1 species